rnacentral:rRNA from 1 species
UGGGGAAUAUUGCACAAUGGAGGGAACUCUGAUGCAGCGACGCCGCGUGAACGAAGAAGGCUUUCGAGUCGUAAAGUUCUUUUAUAUGGGAAGAUAAUGACGGUACCAUAAGAAGAAGCCCCGGCUAACUACGUGCCAGCAGCCGCGGUAAUACGUAGGGGGCUAGCGUUGUCCGGAAUCACAGGGCGUAAAGGGUUCGCAGGCGGAAAUGCAAGUCAGGUGUAAAAGGCAGUAGCUUAACUACUGUAAGCAUUUGAAACUGCAUAUCUUGAGAAGAGUAGAGGUAAGUGGAAUUUUUAGUGUAGCGGUGAAAUGCGUAGAUAUUAAAAAGAAUACCGGUGGCGAAGGCGACUUACUGGGCUCAUUCUGACGCUGAGGAACGAAAGCGUGGGUAGCAAACAGG